AAAGUUGUCGCAGUAAAAAAUCUUAUAGUAGAAUUUGGGGCGGGGGACCCCGUGUUUGGGUGAGAGUGCCCUUUGUUCCUUGAGGGUCUCUUUCCCCCUCUUUGUGUUCUAUUGGCACACAUCAUUCACUGUAAUCAAAGCAGAGUGUUCCAAGCAGGCCGUAGGGCCGGUAUGUUUAUUAUGGGAUGAUCAGAUAGGACUCGGGUGCUAUUUUGUUGGUUUGCACAUCUGAGUAAUGAUUAAUAGGAACAGUCGGGGGUAUCCGUAUUUAGGAGCUAGAGGUGAAAUUCUUGGAUUUCCGAAAGACGAACUACAGCGAAGGCAUUUACCAAGCAUGUUUUCAUUAAUCAAGAACGAAAGUCUGGGGAUCGAAGAUGAUUAGAUACCAUCGUAGUCUAGACCGUAAACGAUGCCGACUUGCGAUUGCGGGUGGCUAAUAAUUGGCCUCCGCAGCAGCACAUGAGAAAUCAAAGUCUUUGGGUUCCGGGGGGAGUAUGGUCGCAAGGCUGAAACUUAAAGGAAUGACGGAAUGGCACCACCAGACGAACCG
rnacentral:rRNA from 1 species